rnacentral:rRNA from 5 species
AAAACUUUCAACAACGGAUCUCUUGGCUCUAGCAUCGAUGAAGAACGCAGCGAAAUGCGAUAAGUAAUGUGAAUUGCAGAAUUCAGUGAAUCAUCGAAUCUUUGAACGCACAUUGCGCCUGGCAGUAUUCUGCCAGGCAUGCCUGUCCGAGCGUCAUUU